GACAGAGGGGGCAAGCGUUGUCCGGAUUUACUGGGCGUACAGCGCGCGCAGGCGGUGGUGUAGGUACCUGGUGACAGUCUCGGGCUCAACUCGAGGGGGUCUGGGUAGACCGCACAACUGGAGGCAGGGAGAGGGAUGUGGAAUACCCGGUGGAGCGGUGAAAUGCGUAGAGAUCGGGUGGAACACCAGUGGCGAAGGCGACUACCUGGCCCAUUCUUGACGCUGAGGCGCGAAAGCUAGGGGAGCGAACGGG
rnacentral:rRNA from 1 species